UUUGUUAUUGAAAUGAGCAUGAUAAUAAGAACCUCUUCUUUCCCUAAUUUUGCAUAUUUCAUACCAAUUCCUACAAUUAUUUCAACAAAUUUUUAUUAAGGUAUGUACUGUUGUUAGUGCUUCCAAUACUGUUGUUAGUGCUCAAGGUAGAGCUAAGAAAUAGACAAAGUCAGGCCAGCUCCAUUGGCCUAGUGGUUAAGUUUGGCGUGCUCCACUUUGGCAGCCUGAAUUCAGUUCCCUGGGCAUGGACCUACACUACUUGUGGGACCUGGACCUGGAAGUUAACUUGGAAGAUGAAACUAGUGAUUGACCGUGAAAAAAAGAAGUAGUGAACUAAUCCAGCUGAAUUGAGAGGAAGAGGAGGACAAGAAGAAAGAGGAGAAGGAAGAUUAGCCCUGAGCUAACUACUGCCAAUCCUCCUCUUUUUGCUGAGGAAGACUGGCCCUGAUCUAACAUCCAUGCCGAUCUUCCUCUACUUUAUACGUGGGGCGCCUACCGCAGCUUGGCUUUUGCCAAGUGGUGCCAUGUCUGCACCCGGGAUCCGAACCAGCGAACCCCAGCCUGCCAAGAAGUAGAACAUGCGAACUUAACUGCUGCACCACUGGGCCGGCCCCGUAACUGGAUUCUUAAAGUAAGCAAACUGUAAAUAAUAAUUUGAACUUCAGAUUGCAUAAACUCCAUUUUUCCAGCUAUAUACUUUGUAUCCUGUGAUUUUUUAUUAAAAUGGGUUUAUUGAAAUAUAUGCACAUAUGAAAUACUGAUCAUGUAAAAAGUUUGCAGUUUGAUAAGAUUUACAUUUGUGUACACCCUGAAAUCAUCUCCACUACUAAGACAAGAAACAUUUACCCCACCUUCAAAGUUUCCUCGCGCCCGUUUGCAGUCCCAACCUCCCGCAUCUCUACUCUUCCCCCUGCCAUCCCAAGGCAACGGCUGAUCUGCUGUUUGCUAAAACACAUUCAUUUCCAUAUACUAGAAUUUUGUAUAAGAGGAGUCAUGCAGUAUGUUUUGUCUGGAUUUUCACUCAGCAUAGUUAUUUUGAGAUUCAUCCGUUUAAUUGCCAGUAUCAAUAGUUCAUUUUUUUCCACUGCUUAAUACUUUAUUGUAUACUACCAUUCACGUGCUAAGUUUUCAGCUUUCAUCUAUUCAAAUUUGCUGUGAAUAUUCAUAUACAAUUCUUUGUAUGGUCAUGUGCUUUUAUUUCUCUUGGGUAAAAACCUAGAAUUGGAAUGGCCAAGUGCUAAGAUAGGAGUAUAUUUAACUUUAAAGAUGGCAGAACUGUUUUCAAAGGGUUCUUUCAUUUUGCAUUCUCAUCAGAAAUGUAU
ensembl:lncRNA